rnacentral:lncRNA from 1 species
AUGUCUCUCAGUGCAAGUUAUUGCCACUGCUUUCCACCGAGUGUCGUCUGGCUGGGGGCGUGGUGUGAGAACCUGUCCUCAAUGUGGUAUGGAGAUUUUAACAGCUGUGUUAAAAUGCCCACAGACACAUCCGCAGCCAGAGUCAUCAGGAUUUGGAAACCAUUUUCCCAAAUCCAAGCUCCAACCCGCUGGGGUCUGUCACACGGAAGACACCUGAUGAGAGUUGCAGUGAUGACUGACCGUGGCAGUGUUUCUGUAGCUCAGAAGAGGGAAAUCGUACUUCAGGUGGAAACGGGAAAGGAGAUCAGCAAAGACUUUCAGGAAAAGCCCCAUGCUAUCCUGGGAAACAGCAGCUUUCCAGUGCUAGAAGGCAGACUGAGCUUGCAGCUCUUCAUAAAAUCCCACACUGGAGGGCAUUGUUUCUGAGAAUCUGUCUCAGGGCUUGGUACAGCCUUGGUCAUGGGUGAGUGUGGGGCCAUCUCUGGUGCCUGGGUCUGGGAGCUCAGGAGAGCUGACAGUUCUUUGGAGCUAGAGGUGAGGGGGGCUUUCAGAUGCACUACUGAGGAAGUGCUUUUCUGCCUUGAACAAUCUGCUGAUGAGCAUGAGGGCUGGGUCCUAGAAUGUCUCCUGUUGCUUAGAGUUUUUCCUAAAAGAAUCUCACUGAGCAUAAUGUAUACAUUUGCUCCUCUUGAAAAUUUUUUACAAAGUAAUAGAGAAAAAUACUGAAAAAAACCCCAGAAAGAUCAAAAUCAUCCCUUUCCUCACUCUUUUAUGAAUGGCCUCAGAGGUAGGGACACAUCUUCCCAGUCUUUCCCUUGCUCAAGUGGCCAAUCCCCCUUAGCAUGAGCAGAAAAGAGCAGGAUUCAGUGUGCUGCAGGUCCUGGAGUUGUCCCUAUGCUCCUAAGACAGAAGGAGUUGGCCACCUGGCCUUUUGUGCUCUCUCUAUACAUGGAAGCAAGGCAUUUGAAAUCCUUGGUUUAGAGGAAUUAGUAAAGUAGCUUCUAAAGACUUUAUUUCUUUUUUUCUCCAGCUGCCGUUUUGGAAAUUUUGCAUUGGUAAGACUUAGUUUCAGUUUGAAAUAGAAAACAACUUGGUUAAAAUUUGCCUUUACUACUUGGAUAUAAUAAAAUAGUCUCUGGCUACCUGUAUAGAGAACAUAGGUAUGUGUACCAUUUUAUGCACAUGUGUUACUUUGUAUUUUAUGGUUGUCAUAUGUGAAGCAGCAUUUAUAAAAUAGAUGCAUUAAAGAAGUAAUAACUUAUGAAUUAAAAUAUUUUUGCUUUUCCAAA